UGUUGAUGGGAUGAUAAGCCUUGACAGAAACUUCAGUGUUGACCCAAAUAUCAGACUACAAUUAUCUGAUCGACU
rnacentral:snoRNA from 1 species